rnacentral:rRNA from 1 species
AUUGAACGCUGGCGGCAGGCCUAACACAUGCAAGUCGAGCGAGUGGCGGACGGGUGAGUAAUGUCUGGGAAACUGCCCGAUGGAGGGGGAUAACUACUGGAAACGGUGGCUAAUACCGCAUACUAUCGGAUGUACCCAGAUGGGAUUAGCUAGUAGGUGGGGUAAAGGCUCACCUAGGCGACGAUCCCUAGCUGGUCUGAGAGGAUGACCAGCCACACUGGAACUGAGACACGGCCCAGACUCCUACGGGAGGCAGCAGUGGGGAAUAUUGCACAAUGGGCGCAAGCCUGAUGCAGCCAUGCCGCGUGUAUGAAGAAGGCCUUCGGGUUGUAAAGCACUUUCAGCGGGGAGGCGUUACCCGCAGAAGAAGCACCGGCUAACUCCGUGCCAGCAGCCGCGGUAAUUC